rnacentral:rRNA from 1 species
UACGUAGGGGGCAAGCGUUAUCCGGAUUCACUGGGUGUAAAGGGAGCGUAGACGGCGACGCAAGUCUGGAGUGAAAGCCCGGGGCCCAACCCCGGGACUGCUCUGGGAACUGUGCGGCUGGAGUGCGGGAGGGGCAGGCGGAAUUCCUGGUGUAGCGGUGAAAUGCGUAGAUAUCAGGAGGAACACCGGCGGCGAAGGCGGCCUGCUGGACCGCGACUGACGUUGAGGCUCGAAAGCGUGGGGAGCAAACAGG